AAAAAAGAAAGCAAAAUUAACAAAGAAACUGUUGAUUAUAUGUUAAUGUGGGGUGGCUUUUUUUUCUUUCUUUGUUGCCGUUAGUGAUAAGCACGCCUGGCACUCAUCAUUCCCUCCAACCCAACUCCUCCUUCUCUCAAUCUCUCUCUAACUUUUCUCUCUCUACAAUUCAUUUUGCUCCCACCUUCUCCCUCUCUCUCCCUCUCUUUCCCCUCUUUCGUCUUUUUACUAUUUCUUUCCUUUUCUCUUGGCUGUACCAGCUUUCCUCUCUGUCUUUGCUACUUGAAGAAAAAGAGUUUUUUUUUUCCCUUUCUUCUUCAAAGAAAAAAAAAGGAAGUAACACAAAAUCUGAUUUUUUGCUUUCAUAAUUUUGGUAGCUAGAUUGGAUCUGGGUCUGCUUCUUUAUUGGAUUAUUAUCAGGGUAAUCUGGUUUCUGUAUUCAAGCCAAAGCUAAAGAAAUUGAAAUAAUUGAAGUGCAGAAACAUAUGGCUGUUUCGAUGAGGGAUUUGGAUCCUGCUUUCCAGGGAGCUGGACAGAAAGCUGGCUUAGAAGUAUGGAGGAUUGAAAACUUCCGUCCUGUUCCUGUCCCAAAGUCUUCUUAUGGGAAAUUUUUCACGGGUGACUCCUAUGUUAUUUUGAAGACAACUGCCCUAAAAAGUGGUGCCUUGCGCCAGGAUAUUCAUUAUUGGCUGGGUAAAGAUACCUCUCAGGACGAAGCAGGUGCAGCUGCUGUCAAAACAGUGGAACUAGAUGCAGCCCUUGGAGGUCGCGCUGUGCAGUAUCGUGAAGUACAGGGCCAUGAAACUGAGAAGUUCCUGUCUUAUUUUAAACCAUGUAUCAUACCUCAAGAAGGAGGGGUUGCAUCUGGAUUCAAACAUGCUGAGGCUGAAGAACACCAGACACGCUUAUUUGUUUGCAAAGGAAAACAUGUUGUCCAUGUAAAAGAGGUUCCUUUUGCUCGAUCCUCCCUCAACCAUGAUGAUAUUUUUAUUCUUGACACCGAGUCAAAAAUAUUUCAAUUUAAUGGUUCCAAUUCAUCUAUCCAAGAGAGAGCUAAAGCUUUAGAAGUAGUCCAGUAUAUCAAGGAUACUUAUCAUGAUGGAAAAUGUGAGGUAGCUGCCAUUGAGGAUGGGAAGCUGAUGGCCGAUGCUGAAACUGGAGAAUUCUGGGGUUUCUUUGGUGGUUUUGCUCCACUUCCUAGGAAAGCAAUCACUGAUGAGGAUAAGACAGCCGAUUCUGAUCCUUCUAAGCUGUUUCGUGUUGAGAAGGGGCAGGCAGAACCUGUGGAGGCAGAUUCUUUGACAAGGGAAUUGCUACAGACUAAUAAGUGCUACAUUCUAGAUUGUGGAUUGGAAGUGUUUGUAUGGAUGGGUAGAAAUACUUCACUUGAUGAAAGAAAGAGUGCAAGUGGAUGUGCAGAGGAGUUAGUCCGUGGAGCUGAUCGACCAAAGUGCCACAUUAUUCGUGUAAUUGAGGGAUUUGAGACAGUGAUGUUCCGGUCAAAGUUUGAAUCAUGGCCUCAGACAGCUGAUGUAGCUGUAUCUGAGGAUGGCAGAGGCAAAGUUGCAGCCCUUCUAAGAAGGCAGGGAGUUAACGUCAAAGGCCUACUGAAAGCUGCUCCUACGAAGGAAGAACCUCAACCAUAUAUUGAUGUCACAGGAAAUUUACAGGUUUGGCAUGUGGAUGGCCAGGAAAAGUUUCUCCUUCAAGCUUCAGAUCAGUCAAAAUUUUACAGUGGUGAUUGCUAUAUUUUUCAAUAUUCAUAUCCAGGAGAAGAUAAGGAGGAAUAUCUUAUAGGAACAUGGUUUGGGAAGAAGAGUAUUGAGGAGGACAGAGCUUCUGCUAUAUCACUGGCAAGCAAGAUGAUUGAAUCAUUGAAGUUUCUGCCUGCACAGGCUCGCUUCUAUGAAGGAAAUGAACCAAUUCAGUUCUUCUCAAUCUUCCAGAGCUUUAUUAUUUUCAAGGGUGGUGUUAGCACCGGAUACAAGAAUUAUAUUGCAGAGAAGGAACUCCCGGAUGAGACAUACAAGGAGGAUGGUCUCGCUUUGUUCCGGGUUCAGGGUUCUGGACCAGAUAACAUGCAAGCAAUACAAGUCGAACCAGUUGCAUCGUCUCUGAACUCCUCUUACUAUUACAUAUUGCACAAUGAUUCCACUAUCUUUACUUGGUCUGGGAACCUUACAACUUCAGAGGGCCAGGAAAUUGUGGAAAGGCAGCUGGAUCUGAUAAAGCCAAAUGUACAGCCCAAGCCACAAAAGGAAGGUUCAGAAUCUGAGCAAUUUUGGGAUCUGUUGGGAGGAAAGUCUGAAUACCCUAGCCAAAAAAUUGGGAGAGAAGCUGAAAGCGACCCUCACCUUUUCUCAUGCAUAUUUUCAAAGGGAAAUCUGAAGGUGACAGAGAUAUACAACUUUACCCAGGACGAUUUGAUGACUGAAGAUAUGUUCGUUUUGGAUUGUCACUCUGAAAUCUUUAUAUGGGUGGGGCAGCAGGUUGAUUCCAAGAACAGAAUACAUGCUUUAACUAUUGGAGAGAAAUUUCUGGAGAGUGAUUUUCUGUUAGAAAAAUUAUCUCGUGAAGCUCCAAUAUUUAUUGUUGCGGAAGGGAGUGAGCCACCUUUCUUCACUCGUUUCUUUUCAUGGGAUUCCACAAAAUCUGCUAUGCAUGGGAACUCAUUCCAAAGGAAACUUGCAAUUGUCAAGAAUGGGGGUACUCCAAUUCUAGAUAAACCCAAACGAAGAACACCUGUAUCUUAUGGAGGAAGAUCUAGCGUGCCAGACAAAUCACAGCGUUCCAGAAGCAUGUCUUUCAGUCCUGACCGUGUUCGUGUGAGGGGCAGGUCGCCAGCUUUCAAUGCAUUAGCUGCUAAUUUUGAGAACCCUAAUGCUAGAAAUCUUUCAACCCCACCUCCUGUCGUUAGAAAGAUUUUUCCAAAAUCUGUGACGCCAGAUUCAGCAAAUAUGGCUUCCAAAUCUGCAGCUAUAGCAGCACUCACUGCAUCUUUUGAACAACCGCCACCAGCACGACAAGUUAUCAUGCCCCGCUCUGUCAAAGUCAACCCUGAAUCACCGAUAUCAACUCCUGAGAAAUCAACACCUAAACCUGACUCGAACAAUAAGGAGAACUCUAUGAGCAGCAAAUUAGGAUCCCUCACCAUACAGGAAGAUGUGAAAGAGGGUGAAGCUGAAGAUGAGGAAGGGCUCCCAAUAUAUCCAUAUGAACGCCUUAAAAUCAACUCAACAGACCCUAUCAGUGAAAUUGAUGUGACAAAGCGAGAGACUUACCUCUCAUCAGCAGAGUUCAGGGAGAAAUUUGGGAUGACAAAGGAUGCCUUCUAUAAGAUGCCAAAAUGGAAACAGAACAAGCUUAAAAUGGCCCUUCAGUUGUUCUGAGUCUCCUUCAUGCCUCUGCAUUUCCUUCAGCUCUGCUGCAGGUCGAAGAAAGCUUAAUUUGUGAACCCUGGGUGAGCUCAGUUUCUCAGAAGUGAAAGGGACAGCAUCAGUGCAUUUUUAGCUGCUUCUGCUCCCAGGAACCUUUGUUUUCUUGAUUGAUGACAGAUAUUUUUUUCCCAUAUUUAAUUAAUCUCCUUCCAUCUGGUGGUUUUGAACGUCUAGCUUUAUAACUUUUGGCCCCUCUUUUUGGUUGAGUUAGCUGCUUGGUAUUAUUAUUCUUUAUGAUCACAGGUUUGUUGUGAGCUUGAAUUUUUGUUUAUCAUUUUUUCACUGGAAAAAAAAUUCUAUUUAUGUAGUGAUCAGGUGCUUGUCAAUGCACAACAGACAGUUUAGGAUGUAUUGUACAACUGAGGAUGGGGAAGUGUGUACAGCAGAGUGUAAAAACGAGUCCACUCAUCAUUUCUUUUCAAUAAAAGCGUGCUUUUUGUAA